CCCGGGGUCGCCGAAAACCGGAAAAAGAGUAGGCA
rnacentral:ncRNA from 1 species